rnacentral:rRNA from 1 species
UACAGAGGGUGCAAGCGUUAAUCGGAAUUACUGGGCGUAAAGCGCGCGUAGGCGGCUAUGUAAGUAGGCUGUGAAAGCCCCGGGCUCAACCUGGGAAUGGCAGUCUAGACUGCAUGGCUAGAAAUAGGCAGAGGAAGGUGGAAUUUCUGGUGUAGCGGUGAAAUGCGUAGAGAUCAGAAAGAACAUCAGUGGCGAAGGCGACCUUCUGGGCUAUAUUUGACGCUGAGGUGCGAAAGCGUGGGGAGCAAACAGG